AAUAACAUUUAGAGCCUAAGGAACAUUCCCUAAGAUUUUGAAGAGGACUCCUACAACUGAUGAUAAUAUCGGCCCAAGAUGGAGUGUGAUGAUUUCUGACAGUCAGCCACCGGAAGGACUCCACCAGCUUCCUGAUUAAUGAAGACAAGGAAGGUACAGUAAAUGCUCAACUACU
rnacentral:lncRNA from 1 species